AGAGUUUGAUCAUGGCUCAGAUUGAACGCUGGCGGCAGGCCUAACACAUGCAAGUCGAACGGUAACAGGAAGAAGCUUGCUUCUUUGCUGACGAGUGGCGGACGGGUGAGUAAUGUCUGGGAAACUGCCUGAUGGAGGGGGAUAACUACUGGAAACGGUAGCUAAUACCGCAUAACGUCGCAAGACCAAAGAGGGGGACCUUCGGGCCUCUUGCCAUCGGAUGUGCCCAGAUGGGAUUAGCUAGUAGGUGGGGUAACGGCUCACCUAGGCGACGAUCCCUAGCUGGUCUGAGAGGAUGACCAGCCACACUGGAACUGAGACACGGUCCAGACUCCUACGGGAGGCAGCAGUGGGGAAUAUUGCACAAUGGGCGCAAGCCUGAUGCAGCCAUGCCGCGUGUAUGAAGAAGGCCUUCGGGUUGUAAAGUACUUUCAGCGGGGAGGAAGGGAGUAAAGUUAAUACCUUUGCUCAUUGACGUUACCCGCAGAAGAAGCACCGGCUAACUCCGUGCCAGCAGCCGCGGUAAUACGGAGGGUGCAAGCGUUAAUCGGAAUUACUGGGCGUAAAGCGCACGCAGGCGGUUUGUUAAGUCAGAUGUGAAAUCCCCGGGCUCAACCUGGGAACUGCAUCUGAUACUGGCAAGCUUGAGUCUCGUAGAGGGGGGUAGAAUUCCAGGUGUAGCGGUGAAAUGCGUAGAGAUCUGGAGGAAUACCGGUGGCGAAGGCGGCCCCCUGGACGAAGACUGACGCUCAGGUGCGAAAGCGUGGGGAGCAAACAGGAUUAGAUACCCUGGUAGUCCACGCCGUAAACGAUGUCGACUUGGAGGUUGUGCCCUUGAGGCGUGGCUUCCGGAGCUAACGCGUUAAGUCGACCGCCUGGGGAGUACGGCCGCAAGGUUAAAACUCAAAUGAAUUGACGGGGGCCCGCACAAGCGGUGGAGCAUGUGGUUUAAUUCGAUGCAACGCGAAGAACCUUACCUGGUCUUGACAUCCACGGAAGUUUUCAGAGAUGAGAAUGUGCCUUCGGGAACCGUGAGACAGGUGCUGCAUGGCUGUCGUCAGCUCGUGUUGUGAAAUGUUGGGUUAAGUCCCGCAACGAGCGCAACCCUUAUCCUUUGUUGCCAGCGGUCCGGCCGGGAACUCAAAGGAGACUGCCAGUGAUAAACUGGAGGAAGGUGGGGAUGACGUCAAGUCAUCAUGGCCCUUACGACCAGGGCUACACACGUGCUACAAUGGCGUAUACAAAGAGAAGCGACCUCGCGAGAGCAAGCGGACCUCAUAAAGUGCGUCGUAGUCCGGAUUGGAGUCUGCAACUCGACUCCAUGAAGUCGGAAUCGCUAGUAAUCGUGGAUCAGAAUGCCACGGUGAAUACGUUCCCGGGCCUUGUACACACCGCCCGUCACACCAUGGGAGUGGGUUGCAAAAGAAGUAGGUAGCUUAACCUUCGGGAGGGCGCUUACCACUUUGUGAUUCAUGACUGGGGUGAAGUCGUAACAAGGUAACCGUAGGGGAACCUGCGGUUGGAUCACCU
rnacentral:rRNA from 1 species